GCUGACUCUCUUUUCGGACUCAGCCCGCCUGCACCCAGGUGAAAUAAACAGCCUUGUUGCUCACACAAAGCCUGUUUGGUGGUCUCUUCACACAAACGCGCAUGAAAUUUGGUGCCAUGACUCGGAUCGGGGUACCUCCCUUGGGAGAUCAAUCCCCAGUCCUCCUGCUCUUUGCUCCGUGAGAAAGAUCUACCUAGGACCUCAGGUCCUCAGACUGACCAGCCCAAGGAACAUCUCACCAAUUUCAAAUCUGGACCCCACUGAAAAUCGGACUGUUCAACUCAUCUGGCAGCCACUCCCAGAGCCCCUGGAACUCUGGCCCAAGCCUCUCUGACUGACUCCUUCCCAGAUCUUCUCGGCUUAGCAGCUGAAGACUGACACUGCCCAAUCGCCUUGGAAGCCCCCUAGACCAUCACGGAUGCCGAGCUUCGAGUAACUCUCACAGUGGAGGGAACGCGCAUGAAAAAACCAAACAAACAAAAAAAUUUCUUUUGGUAGCAGAAUAAAAAAACAAAAAAAAGGACUUUUUCUUCUGGACUGAACUAUAUUUAAAUCUCAAAGGAUGGACAUCUCACAACCUUCCUACAGCAAGUACUGUGAGCUCACAGCACAGUCCAUCAAUCUUACAAGCAGUUCUAAUAGUUCCUGGAUUUGGAAUUUGAUGCAGAGCUUGAUGCAGGCUUUGUAUGAACAGAUGCUUAUAUAAAAGCUAAAAUAGGUGCAGAUGUCUUCUGUUAACCUCACAGGAUAUGACCAUCAAUUAACUUCAAUUUUGUCUUGUUUACUAUGCAAACGUUUGAAUUUCAUAUUUAUUUUGCUCAUAUCAAAACAUAAUUUUAUUGACCAAACUAAGGACAUUUUCCUACAAAAGUAUGUUAGCUCUAGCAUUCCUUUAUCAUUGGAAUCUAACCACACAUUGUUCAUUCAUUCAACAGACAUUUAAUGAGUGCCUAUUAUUUGUCAGCUAUUUUAUUAGAUACAAGUGAGAACACAGACAUGGUCUCUUCUAAGAGAAGGUAGAAUUCAUUUAGAACUGAAAAAUUAGCAAAUAAAAGACAUGAGCACAGAUUUGAAGACAGGUGAAUGGAUGUUCUCUCUUUAAUGGUUAGAAUAAGUCGGAAAGUAGAAAGAGAAGGGAACUUAACCUGCCUAUUUAAGUGAAAGAAUAUUUGGCCAAAUAUGCCUGAAUUUAGUUAUUGGUGGAUUAAUUCAAAUAUGUUAUAUGAUUUGUAAGUUUCCAGAAGGGCUCCACUCUAUAAGUAUCUAUGCUAUAUAAUGCUUACAUUUCAAUUUCAUAUACAUUUAUUGGGGUUAAAAUAAUUUUUUUGAAACUGCAAAUCCAUCUAGAGGAGCAAUAGAUUAAUAUUGAUAAUUAUUUGUCCCAUAAUGUAAUUGUGUUGGGAUUUUUCAAUUACAGUCAAUUGAAAUAAGACUGAUUUUUAAUGGAAAGAAACAGACUAUAACAUUGCUGGGGUAAUCUGACACAGUGAGUUAACCGAGAGCAGUAAAGGACAGAAAGAUAGACAACAUGGGGAGCUACAGUUCCAUAGAGAAACUCUUCCUGCUUUUAUAGUAACACUCUCACUAGUCAAGGCUAUACUAACAAUGUUGUGAAUUGAAUUUAUUGUUAGAUUUUAUUCAAGAAUAACACAGACAUUGAUUUUAGAUCAUUGCUUCUCUAAGAAAUAUAAUGCUAGCAAAGAACCUAUGUAGAUAUGAGAGACAGAACAGAAACAUUUCUAUGAGCUGAUUAGCAAUAUUAUUCUCAUUGCCCAACAAAGAAUAGUGUAUAGUAGAUAUGUGACUAAGACAGGGCAGUAAGUAAAUAAAAGAGAAGAAGAAACCUAUUUUUCUGAGUAGUUUUCUUUAGUAAUAGACUUUCUCUUCUUUCAGUUAGUUUCCUCUUUCCUUUUCCUUGUCUUUCUUCCUCCUUUUCUUCUGUACCAUUUCUUUUAUCUUUUUUGUUGUCAUCAUUGUCUCCUCUACCUCCUCCUCCUUAUCCCCCAUCUUCCUCAUCUUUUUCAUUGUCAUUAACUAUGAGAUGAUAGUCUAGGGACUCUUCAGAUGCAUAGUUCCUUUCAAAAAUCACUGAAUAAUUGAUUAAAGAUAUGUAUUUAACAUAGAAAUAAAGUUUCAAAAACAAAUACAGUAUGGCAUAGUUCACUGGUGUAUGGAAUUCUUUUUUUUUAGUGGAUUUAUUUUUUAGAGGAGUUUUAAGUUCAAAAUUCUUAUAAUUUUAGGCCAGGCACAGUGGCUUACACCUGUAAUCACAGCACUUUGGGAGGCCAAGGUGGGCGAAUCACUUGAGGAACAUCCAAAAUGUAUUGUUUUCAAGAGGUCAGAAUGUCUCUUCUAUCUAUGUCCACUUAGAGGACCAAACAUGACGAGGAGGAGAGACUAUGGUCCUCCCAGUCCCUGAUAAACAGCAAUAUUGAAAGUAGGCCAAUAAGUAACCGAACAAUGAUCUUUAAGUGUUCAAGUGACAGGAAGAGUCACAUGACAUAGAGUUCUCACUACAUUCUAAAGUGACUGUUCUCACUGCGUUCUAUUACAUUGACAAUACACCUAGUCACCCAAAGCUCUGAUGGAGAUGUAUAAAGAAAUUAAUGUGGUUUUCAUGUCUGCUAACACAACAUCCAUUCUGUAGCCUACGGAUUGGGGAGUCAUUCUGACUUUCGAAUACUAUUAUUUAAGCUUAGUGAUGAAAGCAUGUCAAAAGCUGAGACAGACUGAAAACUAGGCCUCGUAUGCCAAAUAGUUAGCCAAGUUGUGAAUGCAAAGAAGACGUUCUUUAAGGAAAUUAAAAGUGAUACUCUAGUGGACACAUGAAUGAUUUUUAAAUAAAUGAAAGCACUUUCUUGCUGAUAUGGAGAAAGUUUUAGUGGUCUGGAUAGAAGAUCACAUCAGUCACAACAUUCCAUUAAGCCAAAGCCAGAACAAGGCCCUAACGCUUUAAAUAUAUGAAGGCUGAGAGAGGUGAGGAAGCUUCAGAAGAAAAUGUGAAGCUAGCAGAAGUUGUUUCUUGAGGAUUAAAGAAAAAAGCUAUCUCUAUAACAUAAAAGUGCAAGAUGAAGUAUCAAAUGCUGAUGUAGAAGCUGCAGCAAGUUAUCCACUGUUCAUCAAUCAUCUGAACUAUCUGAACUUCUACACUAAACAAAAAUUCUCUACGCUAAACAAAAAAUUUUUAAUGUAGACAAAAUAGCCUUCUGUUGGAAGAAGAUGCUGUCUAGGACUUCCAUAGCUAAAGAGGAGAAGUCAAUACUUGGCUUUAAAGCUUCUAAAGACAGGCUGACCCUCUCAUUAAAGGAUAAGGAAGCUGGUGACUUUUAAGUUGAAGCCAAUAAUCAUUUACCAGUCAGAAAAUUUACAGUCCUUAAGAAUUAUGCUAAAUCUUCUCUGCCUGUCCUCUAUAAAUGAAACAACAAAGACAAAUUACAGCACAUCUGUUUACAGCACAGUUUGCAUUGUUUACUGAAUAUUUUAAGCUCACUGUUAAAAUCUACUGCUCAGAAAGAAAAGGUUUCUUUCAAAACAUUACAUUGACAAUGCACCUAGUUACCCAAGAGCUCUGAUGGAGAUGUAUAAGGAGAUUAAUGUUUUCAUGUCUGCUAACAAAAUAUCCAUUCUGUAGCCUAUGAUUCAAGGAGUCAUUUCUACUUUCAAAUUUUAUUAUUUAAGAAAUAUAUUUCAUAAGGCUAUAGCUGUCAUUGUGAUUCUGCAGAUGGAUCUGGGAAAAGUAAAUGAAACACCUCCCAGAAAGGAUUCACCAUUUUAGAUGCCAUUAAGAAUAUUCUUGAUUCAUGGGAGAUCAAAAUAUCAACAUUAACAGGAGUUUGUAAAAAGUUCAUUUCAACCCUCAUGGAUGACUUUGAGGGGUUUCAAGACUUUGGUGGAAGAAGUAACUGCAGUUGUGGUGUAAAUAGCGAGAGAACUAGAGUUAGAAGUGGAGCCUGAAAAUGUGACUGAGUUAUUGCAAUCUCAGGAUAAAACUUGAACAAAUGACAAAUUACUUCCUAGGAAUGGGCAAAGAAAAGUACUUAUUUGGGAUAGCAUUUGAUCCUGGUGAAGAUUCUGUGAAUGUUGUUGAAAUAACAAAAGAUUUCAAAUAUGUAAAACCUAAUUGAUAUAGCAACAUCAGGGUUUGAGAGAAUUGACACCAAUUUUGAAAGCAAUUUUACUGUGGGUAAAAUGCUACCAAACAACAUUACAUGCUAGAGAAACCCCUUAUCAAAGGAAAAGUCAGUCUAUGUGGAAAACUUCAUUGUUGCCUUAUUUUAAGAAAUUGUGUCAGCAACCCCAGCCUUCAGCAACCACCAUUCCAAUCACUCAGCAGCCAUCAACAUUGAGGCAAGACACUCCAGAACCAAAAAGGUUAUAACUCAUUGAAAGUUCAGGUGAUCAUUAGCAUUUUUUAGCAAUAAAGUAUUUUUAAAGUUAAUGUCUGUACAUUUUUUAGACAUAAUGCUAUUGCACACUUAAAGUAUAGUGUAAACAUAAGUUUGAUAUGCACUCGGAAACAAAAAAAAUUCUGUUACUUGCUUUGUUGCAACAUUCAUUUUAUUUCAUUGGUCUGGAACUGAACACAUAUCUCCAAGGUAUGCCUAUAUUGUUAAAAAAGAAUAGGUAUACCAGUGUCUGGGUCCUCCAAGAGACCUUCGUGAAAACAAUGAUGGAAUCUGUAAUAUCCUCUAUCUUAAAUAUCCUUAAGUUGAAGUCACAAGACUUACAAAAAUAUUUUUGUCUUUUUCUCCACUCUGAACAAAGUGUUAUCCUUUGAAAGAAUUAUUAUUCUCAGCAAACUAACACAGGAACAGAAAACCAAACACCGCAUGUUCUCACUCAUAAGUGGGAGUUGAACAAUGAGAACACAUGGACACAGGGAGGGGAACAUCACACACCGGGGCCUGUCAGGGGGUUGGGGGCUAGGGGAGGGAUAGCAUUAGGAGAAAUACCUAAUGUCAAUGAUGAGUUGAUGGGUGCAGCAAACCACCAUGGCAUGUGUAUACCUAUGUAACAAACCUGCACGUUCAAGACAUGUAUCCCAGAACUUAAAGUAUAAUAAUAAUAAUAAAAAGAAUUAUCUUUGUGAAAGACAUAAUCUCAUUACUCUCCUUGUUGACUCUUUUUUCCUCCAUGGUUUUGGAGAUGACUGCAGUAGUCUGUUAUGGAGAUUGUCACAAGAUAGAGUGUGAUAAUAGCAA
rnacentral:lncRNA from 10 species